AGGGGCGGCCCAAGCCCUAGGCGACCGAGGCGGUCGCCUAAGGCCUCAGCCUCAAGGAAGGCCUCCGGGCUCCGGCCUUCCACAGUUCCACUCUCCUGCCAGGGCAUCACGAUUUUGGGAUUGGGAUCGCCAUUCGCCGCCGAAGAAGAAGUCGGAAGAGUCACCCGUCACGGAAGGAAGCUACGAGCCUACGAGCCUUAGCUGCCUACCUCUUGCGGUCUUGCCUACGAAGUAGGAUCCAGGCAUCCAGCCUCCACUCUCCAGGCAUGGCACUGGCAGCAUAGCCAACGCGGCAACGCCCAACGGGCAAUGGACAGCGGGGCUAUGGCCUAUCAGCUUAUGGAGGGCCCUAUGCCCCUACGAUCCUCAUUCCCCCAUAGCCCAUCUUCUCCAUCCGCCGGCCGUAGUCACCAGAGGCAGAAUGGCAGUCUUGGCAGAAUCCCAGAUAAGUAGAUAACCAGAGAGAGUCCUUCUCCAUUUCUCCUUCUAAACUCUUCUUCAAUCUUCCGUUCUUCCUUCCCUAAUCCCCAGCCCUAGUUGAUUCAAUCAUUCAAUCUUCGGUUCUUCCGAGCAGGGGCGGCCCAAUCUUCCGUUCCGAGUUCCGACUUCCGAGACUCCGACUCUCCGAGUUCCGUCCUUCGCUCGUUCGCCGUCCUCGGCUCGGUUCUUCCGACUUCCGAGACUCCGACUGUCCGAGUUGACGAGUUCCGUCCUUCGCCCGUUCGCCGUCCUCGGCUCGAUUCUUCCGACUUCCGAGUUCCGUCCUCGGUCCUUCGCCUAUCUCUUCUCCUUCUCGACCCAGCCCGGUAGCCCCCCGUCCUCGCCGCCGUCGCCGGAGCCCGGAGGUGAGCUUCCGUCCCCUGUGUUCUGUGUUCACUGUUCAGUGUUCUGUUUGUUUGUUGGGUUACUUGGGUUGGGUAAUGCCGUAAUGGGUUAUUGGGUAAUGGUAGUUAACUAGUUAUUACUUACUUAUUUUUGUUAUUAUAUACUCAUAAUCCUAUUGCAGGUUAUUGGGUAUUUGGGUGAUUGAAUAAUAUAAAGUUUUAACAGAUUUCCCUUCUUUCCCUAAAUUCCCUGUCAGUGAAAAUUCCUGGAGCACCUAUUUGAAAGAAUGGAAUAUAUUAUAUACGAUGUAAAUAUGUAAUGACUUAUGAAUGCAGUUUUCCAAAAGUUGAUUGAGAAUUUUCAUCUAGUUCACCUGCUAAAUCAUCCAAUGAUCUGAUCCCAAAAGGCCAAAACCAUACAUCUGUCUCAGUUUUCCUACACGCCCAGACGCCCUUGGAGCUCUUUACUCUUUACUUCUUUAGUAGGCUAUAAAAUAAAGCAUUUAAGGUCAAUUCCUUAUUCCUAUACAAAAGCUGAAUUAGUUGUUUCAAGACAUUUCCAUUGAUAUACCUCGGCCUUUUUAGAGACAAAUAACACCCUUGGGGCU
rnacentral:lncRNA from 1 species